rnacentral:lncRNA from 10 species
GUUGUCCGGCCCCACCGGCUGGCCGCAAGAGCAGAACUCAGGAAAGAAAAAGGAAAGUAAAUUGAAGGCUUAAGAAAAAGGCCAAUCUGUUGUCAACAGCUCUUAUGGAAAGGGAGAUUAGCAAUGUGAGAGGACGUGGAUGCGGACGUAGACGUGGAAAAAAGUCAAGUUAGGAAUGGAUUCAAGAGCCAGACAAGGUGGGCGCCUGUGAUCCCAGCUACUCGGGAGGCUGAGGCAGGGGAAUGGCGUGAACCCGGGAGGCGGAGUUUGCAGUGAGCCGAGAUCGCGCCACUGCACUCCAGCCUGGGAGACACAGCGAGACUCCGUCUCAAAAAAAAAAAAAAGAAAAGAAAAAGAAAAAGAAAGAGAUUAAUGUGCGCGAUGCAAAAAGAAAGGACACUGGAAGGAUGAGUGUUCAGAAGGCAAUGAGGGAAAUAGCCAAGACCACGAGACAAAGAGGCCAUCGGCCAAGGGCUGCCGCACCUUGGGGAACCAAAUACUGAUCUGAUCAGGCUGGCAGGAGCCGAAGGACGUAAGGAACAGGACAGACCGGGAACCUUCUCAUUAGGCACCCAGGGGCCCAUGGUCACAUUAGAAGUUAAAGGCAGCAGGAUUCUGCUGUAUCUGGAUUCCAAUUUCUCACUGAUGGCUAAGCCACUAGAUGGAGUUACAAAAGGGGAAGAAAAAGAACCCCUCCUCUGGGAAACAGCAGGAGAAGGAGCCCUGCCUGGUGAAAACUUGCUUAUAGACUUCACAGAACCUCCCCGUGCCGGAGGUUAUUGGUUCAUGCU